rnacentral:rRNA from 1 species
UGGGGAAUUUUGGACAAUGGGGGCAACCCUGAUCCAGCAAUGCCGCGUGCAGGAAGAAGGCCUUCGGGUUGUAAACUGCUUUUGUACGGAACGAAAAGGCUCUGGUUAAUACCUGGGGCUCAUGACGGUACCGUAAGAAUAAGCACCGGCUAACUACGUGCCAGCAGCCGCGGUAAUACGUAGGGUGCGAGCGUUAAUCGGAAUUACUGGGCGUAAAGCGUGCGCAGGCGGUGCUGUAAGACAGGCGUGAAAUCCCCGGGCUUAACCUGGGAAUGGCGCUUGUGACUGCAGUGCUGGAGUGUGGCAGAGGGGGAUGGAAUUCCGCGUGUAGCAGUGAAAUGCGUAGAUAUGCGGAGGAACACCGAUGGCGAAGGCAAUCCCCUGGGCCUGCACUGACGCUCAUGCACGAAAGCGUGGGGAGCAAACA